GAAUUGACGGGGGCCCGCACAAGCGGUGGAGCAUGUGGUUUAAUUCGAUGCAACGCGAAGAACCUUACCUGGUCUUGACAUCCACGGAAGUUUUCAGAGAUGAGAAUGUGCCUUCGGGAACCGUGAGACAGGUGCUGCAUGGCUGUCGUCAGCUCGUGUUGUGAAAUGUUGGGUUAAGUCCCGCAACGAGCGCAACCCUUAUCCUUUGUUGCCAGCGGUCCGGCCGGGAACUCAAAGGAGACUGCCAGUGAUAAACUGGAGGAAGGUGGGGAUGACGUCA
rnacentral:rRNA from 1 species